AACGUAGGUGGCAAGCGUUAUCCGGAUUUACUGGGCGUAAAGGGUGUGCAGGCGGGGUUUCAAGUGGUGUAUGAAAUCUCCCGGCUUAACCGGGAGGGGUUAUGCCAGACUGCAAUUCUAGAGGACGAGAGAGGGGGGUGGAAUUCCGGGUGUAGUGGUGAAAUGCGUAGAGAUCCGGAGGAACCCCAGAGGCGAAGGCGGCCCCCUGGCUCGUACCUGACGCUCAGCCACGAAAGCAUGGGGAGCGAACGGG
rnacentral:rRNA from 1 species